rnacentral:tRNA from 2 species
GGCGGAAUAGCUCAGUGGCUAGAGCAUCCGGUUCAUACCCGGCAGGUCAUAGGUUCAAAUCCCAUUUCCGCCACCA